rnacentral:rRNA from 1 species
GGCGAACGCUGGCGGCGUGCUUAACACAUGCAAGUCGAACGGAAAGGCCUUUUCGGAGGUACUCGAGUGGCGCACGGGUGAGUAACACGUGGGUGAUCUGCCCUGCACUCUGGGAUAAGCCUGGGAAACUGGGUCUAAUACCGGAUAGGACCGCACUUUAGUGUGUGUGGUGGAAAGUUUUUUCGGUGUAGGAUGAGCCCGCGGCCUAUCAGCUUGUUGGUGGGGUAAUGGCCUACCAAGGCGGCGACGGGUAGCCGGACUGAGAGGUUGGUCGGCCACAUUGGGACUGAGAUACGGCCCAGACUCCUACGGGAGGCAGCAGUGGGGAAUAUUGCACAAUGGGCGCAAGCCUGAUGCAGCGACGCCGCGUGGGGGAUGACGGCCUUCGGGUUGUAAACUCCUUUCGCCAGGGACGAAGCGUUUUGUGACGGUACCUGGAGAAGAAGCACCGGCUAACUACGUG